UUGUCUCUCCCUUCCUACUUCAAACUAAAAAGACCACAGUCGGAUGCAUCAAUCCAUUCAAUCUUCUCAAAGUUUGAAGCUUUUGAUCAAGAACCCUCCUUCCUUUCCCAAUCCCCCGAUUUCCCAGUUCUGCAAUUUCUCCAUUGUUUCACUCCAGGCUACCUGAACAUUUCAAUCUUCAACUCUCCUGUUCUGAAAGAAAAGAGUUUUGUUGGGUUCAUUGGAUUUGAUGGAUACCAAUAAGUGGAGGCCUUAUCAAGUUGGAGAGGCCGCCAUGGAUGCCGGCGAUUGGAGGAGUCAGCUGCAGGCUGAUUCAAGGCAAAGAAUUGUCAACAAGAUAAUGGAUACAUUGAAGAGGCAUCUUCCCUUCUCCGGACAAGAUGGAUUACAGGAACUCAGUAAAAUUGCUGUAAGGUUUGAGGAAAAGAUUUAUACUGCAGCCACAAGCCAGUCGGAUUAUCUACGGAAAAUUUCUCUGAAGAUGCUCACAAUGGAGACCAAGUAUCAGAAUUCAAUGGGCAAUCCUUUACAAUCUAACUCUGCUGGUAACAGCAACAGGCCCCCUGAUCCAGGGUCUUUUGGUAUGCAACCCCAAGUUCCCAAUCAAGGUAUGCAACCCCAAGUCCCCAAUCAUGGGCAAUCACUCUCUAUGCCGUUACCAGCUAAUCAAUCUCAAGGACGCCAACCACUUUUAUCACAGAGCAUUCAGAAUAACAUUCCACCUGCUGGAGUUCAAAGUUCGUCUGGCUUAUCAUCUGCACUACCUCCUUCUUCCGGUUUAACCCAGACUCCUAUCCCAAGUAUAGGUGGACAAAACCCAAACAUGCAAAAUAUGUCUGGAAGUUCACAGAAUUCAUUAGGGAAUUCCAUGGGCCAGGGGGUACCCUCCAAUGUCUUUGCUAAUUCUCAAAGGCAAAUGCCAGGAAGGCAACAGGUAGCUCCCCAACAGCAGCAGCCGCAGCAAUCCCAGAAUUCCCAGAAUUCCCAGCAGUAUAUGUACCAUCAACAGAUGCAACAUUCGCUUUUGAAGCCAAAAUAUGAGCAGGGAAAUAUGCCACAACUUGUGCAACAGCAACAGCAACAGCAGCAGAACCUUUUACAACCGACUCAGUUGCAAUCUUCCCAGCAAUCUGUUAUGCCAACAUCGUCUGUUAUGCAGCCUUCAGUGCAAUCAUCUGUCCAGCAGAAUCAACAAUCUGCUAUGCAACAGUCAUCACAACCCAUGCUUCCGCAGCAUUCACAGCCAGUUCUCAGGCAGCAACAGCAGCCUCAACAGGUAGCUGUUCAUCAACAGCAAACACCAAUGGCACAACAGCCAAUAUUAACCCCGCAGCAGCAGCAGCCAACUGCUUCAAACUUGUCCCAGAAUCAGAUGAUUGGACAACAAACUAAUGUCGGGGAUAUGCAGCAGCAGCAACAACAGAGGUUACUAAACCAGCAGAAUAAUCUUUUAAACCUGCAACAACAGCAACAGCAACAGCAGCAGCAGCAGCAGCAGCAACAGCAACAACAGCAGCAGCAGCAGCAGUUAAUGGCUCAGCAAAGCAACCUUUCUAAUAUCCAUCAGCAACAAUUGGGCCCGCAGAGUAAUGUUACUGGGUUACAGCAACAGCAGCAAAGCAACCUUUCAAAUAUGCAUCAGCAACAGUUGGGCUCUCAGAGUAAUGUUACCGGAUUACAGCAACAGCAGCACCUUGGAACUCAAAGUGGUAAUUCUAGUAUGCAACCAAAUCAGCACUCUGUACACUUGUUGCAACAAUCCAAGGUUCAGGUGCAGCAGCAACAACAUCCGAAUGCAUCUAACAUGUUACCGACUCAAGGACAGCAGUCACAACCGCAAGCAUCACAGCAACAAAUGAUGUCACAGAUUCAAUCACAGCCACAGAUGCAACAAAUGGGUUUGCAACAGCAGUCAAAUCCACUGCAACGAGAUAUGCAGCAAAGGCUUCAAGCAUCAGGUCAGAUAUCAGGAACCAUGCUUCAAGCUCAAAAUGUAAUGGAUCAGCAAAAGCAGUUAUAUCAAUCUCAGAGACCCCUUGCUGAGACAUCAUCGACUUCUCUGGAUUCCUCAGCUCAGGCUGGACAUGCAAAUGGGGGUGAUUGGCAAGAGGAGGUCUAUCAAAAAAUCAAAGUCAUGAAGGAAAGGUACUUACCCGAACUAAGUGAAAUGUAUCAGAAAAUUGCUACUAAACUUCAGCAGCACGAUUCUCUUCCACAACAACCAAAGUCAGAGCAGCUUGAGAAGCUAAAAAUGUUCAAAACCAUGUUAGAGCGCCUCAUAUCAGUCUUACAGAUUUCCAAGAGUAAUGUUUCACCUGGUUUGAAAGAUAAUUUGGGUUUAUAUGAGAAGCAGAUAGUAAAUUUUAUUAAUACAAAUAGACCACGGAAGCAAGAUCCUCUGCAACAAGGGCAGUUCCCCCCACCUCAUAUGCACUCCAUGCAGCAGCCGCAGUCUCAAAUUCGUCAAGUGCAGUCUCAUGAAAAUCAAAUGAACCCGCAGUUGCAAACAAUGAAUUUACAAGGUUCUGUGCCAACAAUGCAGCAGAACUAUAUGACAAGCUCGGAGCAAAAUUCAAUGUCUUCGAUUUCUGGGGUUUCAACAGCACAGCAACAUGAUGAAUUCAUUGCAGCCAAGUACAAAUUUGGAUUCAGGACAGGGAAAUGCACCGAACUCUUUGCAGCAAGUUCCGGUGGGAUCUAUCCAACAAACUCCUGUCAGUGCUCCCCAGCAAGCUAACAUGAAUGGUCUGUCAUCGCAGAGUGGGGUUAGUAUGCUUCAGCCAAAUAUUAUCUCCCUUCAGUCAAAUUCUGGUAUGCUUCAACACCAGCAAUUAAAACAGCAGGAACAGCAAAUGUUUCAGAAUCAACUGAAGCAACAGUAUCAACAGCGAAUGCAGCAGCAAUUGAUACAGAAGCAGCAGAUACUGCAACAGCAACAGCAGCAGCAACAGUUGCAGCAAGCAAAGCAGCAGCUUCCGGCGCAGAUGGAGGCGAACCAACACCAAAUGCCACUGCUUCAUCAAAUGAAUGAUGCAAAUGACUUGAAGAUGAGACAGGGGAUGGGUGUUAAGCCAGGGGUUUUUCAGCAACAUAUAUCCGCAGGCCAGCGUGCUUAUCCACAUCAGCAGUUGAAAUUAGGAUCUCCAUUUCCUAUUCCAUCAUCAAACCAACUCAUUCAGGCUGCAUCUCGUCAAAUUUCGCAACAUUCUUCUCCCCAAGUUGACCACAAGAAUCUACUGACUCACCUGAAAGCUGGAACACCAUUGCAAACUGCCGGUUCACCUGUUGUCAUCCCAUCUCCUUCAACUCCCAUGGUUCCAUCCCCCAUGCCAGGGGAUUCUGAGAAACCUUCCUCACUACCAAAUGCUGGGAAUAUCGGACAUCAACAAGCAGCUGGGGUGGGAGCACCAGUCCAGUCCCUUGCAAUUGGCACUAGUGGGAUGUUGGCAUCUCCUUUGCUUGCUGAAUUUAUUGUACCAGAUGCUAGUCAUGUUAAUGCUUUGUCAACUAUUUCUGGCAAAUCGAGUGUUACCGAGCAGCCUCUUGAACGCUUGAUUAAGGCGGUGAAAUCGAUGUCACCUAAUGCAUUGAGUGCAUCUGUCAGUGACAUUGGCUCAGAUGCAUUGAGUGCAUCUGUUUGCUGCUGUGAGGUGGAAGGCUGGGCGUUGUCAUCGGUGUGGUGCUGCUACUCCCGCCACUGCUGCUGCCAGAAGAAGAAACAAGGGCAAGAAGGAUGUGACGCUUGAAGAAUUUAUAUCAUUUGCAACAUACGCGGAAAAAUAUUGUCAAACAUAUGCGGAUUCUGCUGAUAAUGCCAGGGCAGUGGAAAAGAAAGUGCAAUGGGCACUGCACAGUGCAUUGUAAAGUGGAUUGCACCAUUGUAGAGAUGCUGGCGAGCUUCAACAAAACGAAGAGACCGCAACCGCAACCGCGAAAUGAAUGGACCGCAUUUUGAAAGAUUUCUAGCUAUUUGCCAAUAAUUAAUUAAAGAGACUGCAUUUUUUUGACGUUUUAUGUGUGUUUGGAACAGUAGAAAUGUUAUUUACUUUUAUUGUAUGACUAUGGGAAUGAUUUAUCAUCAGUUUUACUUUUAUAUGGUUGAAUUAGAGGAGCUCUCUCUCUCUC